AAGAGGAAUGAGACUGCCCAGGGGGAUGAAAUUCCAACAAAAUACCAUUUGGUGGCAGGAAUGUAGGAUUUUUCUGUCUGGAUCCUUGAAUGGAGAGUCUGACCAUGGCUUGCCAGAAUAAACCUCACCUAAGAGAAGGAGGACGAGUGGUUAUGGAAUGACCUAGAGUGUCUCAAUCUGACUGAUAAGGGGGCCGUUUAUUGAUUCCAUCAGGACCAUUUAUGACUGGCACAUUACAGAACUAACAGCCCCACGUUCAGAUGUCUGGGAGAGGUCACACCGAACACAAAUACACAUUAAGGUGUAAAUGACUGAUGUGAAGUUGUCCUUCGAGUGUGAGGGUGCGCUCAGAGCAGGGGCUGGGAGAGCAUGAGGUGUGGCUGGAACCGCGCAGGAGUAAGAGUGCCUGGCACAUCAUGGUUCAAAACAUGAGUCACCAUCCUCAUCGUCACCGUCAUCAUCGCCAUCCUCAUCAUCACCCUCAUCCAUAGCUUUGGGAGAGGAAUGUGGAGCAAAAGUAGGAGGCAUCUGCGUACCUGAACCAUCAGCCAUAGCAGUGCCAGGUUUAGCAAAUAAAAAUAUAAGCACAUUUACUCAU